GGUCUUGCUGUCACUUAUAGAUGGAUCCGCGCUGCAUUAGCUAGUUGGUAAGGUAACGGCUUACCAAGGCAACGAUGCAUAGCCGACCUGAGAGGGUGAUCGGCCACACUGGAACUGAGACACGGUCCAGACUCCUACGGGAGGCAGCAGUAGGGAAUCUUCCGCAAUGGGCGAAAGCCUGACGGAGCAACGCCGCGUGAGUGAUGAAGGUCUUCGGAUCGUAAAACUCUGUUAUUAGGGAAGAACAUAUGUGUAAGUAACUGUGCACAUCUUGACGGUACCUAAUCAGAAAGCCACGGCUAACUACGUGCCAGCAGCCGCGGUAAUACGUAGGUGGCAAGCGUUAUCCGGAAUUAUUGGGCGUAAAGCGCGCGUAGGCGGUUUUUUAAGUCUGAUGUGAAAGCCCACGGCUCAACCGUGGAGGGUCAUUGGAAACUGGAAAACUUGAGUGCAGAAGAGGAAAGUGGAAUUCCAUGUGUAGCGGUGAAAUGCGCAGAGAUAUGGAGGAACACCAGUGGCGAAGGCGACUUUCUGGUCUGUAACUGACGCUGAUGUGCGAAAGCGUGGGGAUCAAACAGGAUUAGAUACCCUGGUAGUCCACGCCGUAAACGAUGAGUGCUAAGUGUUAGGGGGUUUCCGCCCCUUAGUGCUGCAGCUAACGCAUUAAGCACUCCGCCUGGGGAGUACGACCGCAAGGUUGA
rnacentral:rRNA from 1 species